AAGAAAGGAAGAAGAAGAAUAAAAAGGGUUCAAGCUAGGGGUUUGAGCAAGGAGGUUAUUGGAUCCUUGAUUGGAUUGGAUUCUUGAUUUUCUAUCAAGAAGAGGUAGCAAAUAGGAUUUCUCUGUGGCACGCGUGGUGACGUGAGGAGUUCUAUCGUCGUAGGGUGUAU